AAAUUGAAGAGUUUGAUCAUGGCUCAGAUUGAACGCUGGCGGCAGGCCUAACACAUGCAAGUCGAACGGUAACAGGAAGCAGCUUGCUGCUUUGCUGACGAGUGGCGGACGGGUGAGUAAUGUCUGGGAAACUGCCUGAUGGAGGGGGAUAACUACUGGAAACGGUGGCUAAUACCGCAUAACGUCGCAAGACCAAAGAGGGGGACCUUCGGGCCUCUUGCCAUCAGAUGUGCCCAGAUGGGAUUAGCUUGUUGGUGAGGUAACGGCUCACCAAGGCGACGAUCCCUAGCUGGUCUGAGAGGAUGACCAGCCACACUGGAACUGAGACACGGUCCAGACUCCUACGGGAGGCAGCAGUGGGGAAUAUUGCACAAUGGGCGCAAGCCUGAUGCAGCCAUGCCGCGUGUAUGAAGAAGGCCUUAGGGUUGUAAAGUACUUUCAGCGGGGAGGAAGGUGUUGCGGUUAAUAACCG
rnacentral:rRNA from 2 species